rnacentral:ribozyme from 16 species
GACUAUAAGUAUCAAAAAAAGGAAAAAACAAUACGAUAAAACAGAAAUAACUUGUUAAUUUCAUUUUUUUUUUUUUUUUUUUUUUUUUUUUUUUU